GCUGUGAAAUUGUUCUGUCUUUGAAAAAAAAAAUGUUUGGAUGGCACAAGUCACCACCUCUAGAAGCAAAAACUUCAACCUCCUGUGUAUCUGAGGCACCUCGCCCUGACUGGUAAAGCAAAGAAACUGGAUAGGAGAAGGCCUGUGUUGAGGGCAUCAAUGGCUAACUGUCAGCAGGGACAACAGCCAUUAUCCCAUAUCCAGUGAGUACAACAGACUUGCUGCAGUUUUACAUCCAGUUCACUGAUCAACUAUCAAACUGAAGGAUAGCUUGUCACUGCAUCUGCAGUGACUCACUUGCCUUGGGGAAAAAUACAUGUCACACAUUUACAUUUUGGCUUUUAAGUGAGGAAACUUCAUGGUUUUCAGAACAGAGUAAGAUUCUUGAAAACUAAAACAAUAAAUCCAAUGCUGAUUGUGAUCAAUGAUGAAAAAAAAAAAAAAAAAAAAAAA
rnacentral:lncRNA from 1 species